UUGCUCUUUUAAGGCUGAUGCAGUGCUUUAAGAGGCUAACACAGAAGGGUAAAGUGAAUCUCCAUAAAACCCAGGGAGGAGAUUGUAAAACUUCUCUCUGGAUCCUGUCUGGAGCCACAUCU
rnacentral:snoRNA from 10 species